GGAGAGAGGGACUCUGCCUGUCCCCGGAGGGCCCGGAGGCCGCUCUGACGGCAGCAUUUCCGUGGUGGGUCUUGCAGGUCGCACAGCGUCCCCCUGGCCCAGGAGGUCUGGGAGGGGCAUUCAGGCAGACGGGACGACCUGGGGAAGCAGAACUGGAGCAGCUUCUUCGGCCGAAUGUCGUCCUCAACAGCACACGUGUCCGACGGGAGCCUCAGAGCCCUGACAGCCAACGGACCUGCCGCUGAAAUAAGCCCACAAGCAAAACGAGAAAUAACCCGCGGGCAUUACCCCUCCUCAGCGGUGACAGCAGAGACGCUCCAGGGACCUCCCAGGCGUCACCUCUCCAGGGACCUCCCAGGCGUCACCUCUCCAGGGACCUCCCAGGCGUCAUGCUCGCUCCCUGGCCCAGGCGUCACCUCUCCAGGGACCUCCCAGGCGUCAUGCUCGCUCCCUGGCCCAGGCCAGCACCUCUGCUCCUGCGGUCCCAGCAGGACGCUCACACGGGGGCUUUGCUGGGGACAACGUGCAGUGUCCUGAGAGAGCGCGUUCCCGCGCCAGACCCCUCCCCAGACCACCUGCUCUGGACGCCGGGCUCAGGGCCUCCUCUCCUGGCCUGAGACCCACGUGCUCCGCGAGCCGUCGCCGCCUGAGGAGGAAAGACAGAGAGACUUUAGCUAAUCCCCUCGGCAGUCCUGGGUGGUCCUUUAAGCCCUUCCCCAAAACACAGGGUUGUGUGGUCUUCUCUCUGCCGUGAUGAAAUAAUAAUAAUAAUAAUAGUUGCCGUUUAA